rnacentral:rRNA from 1 species
CAAUAGCGUAUAUUAAAGUUGUUGCAGUUAAAAAGCUCGUAGUUGGAUUUCGGGGCAGCCUGGCUGGUCCGCCGCAAGGCGAGUACUGGUCAGCCGCCCUUCCUCUCGAAAGCCCCGACUGCUCUUUAUUGCAGUGGUCGGGUAGUUCGGGACGUUUACUUUGAAAAAAUUAGAGUGUUCAAGGCAGGCCUACGCCUGAAUACAUUAGCAUGGAAUAAUGGAAGAGGACCUCGGUCCUAUUUUGUUGGUUUCCAGGACCGAAGUAACGAUUAAGAGGGACAGUUGGGGGCAUUCGUAUUUAAUUGUCAGAGGUGAAAUUCUCGGAUUUAUGAAAGACGAACAACUGCGAAAGCAUUUGCCAAGGAUGUUUUCAUUAA